AGCAAACACAGUAGUGUGCAAUGCUAAAGUCCACCAUGCAUGUACUUACUUUGUUUGUUCU
rnacentral:precursor_RNA from 1 species